rnacentral:rRNA from 1 species
CUCCAGUUGAUCGCAUGGUCUUCUGGGAAAGCUUUCGCGGUAUGGGAUGGGGUCGCGUCCUAUCAGCUUGACGGCGGGGUAACGGCCCACCGUGGCUUCGACGGGUAGCCGGCCUGAGAGGGCGACCGGCCACAUUGGGACUGAGAUACGGCCCAGACUCCUACGGGAGGCAGCAGUGGGGAAUAUUGCACAAUGGGCGCAAGCCUGAUGCAGCGACGCCGCGUGAGGGAUGGAGGCCUUCGGGUUGUAAACCUCUUUUAUCGGGGAGCAAGCGAGAGUGAGUUUACCCGUUGAAUAAGCACCGGCUAACUACGUGCCAGCAGCCGCGGUAAUACGUAGGGUGCAAGCGUUAUCCGGAAUUAUUGGGCGUAAAGGGCUCGUAGGCGGUUCGUCGCGUCCGGUGUGAAAGUCCA